GGUCCUAAAGGAACAUCUGAUAAAAUUGGAAUGAUAUAGAGAAGAUUAACAUGGUUCAUGUGCAAAGAUGACACACAAAUCUCGAGAAAUGGUCCAAAAUUUU
rfam:Brassica oleracea var. oleracea cultivar TO1000 chromosome C9, whole genome shotgun sequence